CCAGCUCCAGCUGCCGGUAGUCCUCGCUGCUGAUGUUGUACUUGCCCUUGAUCCGGAUCUCCUCGGCUUUGAGUUUUUCCUCCUCGCGCAUCUCGUGGUCCGACUCGAGGGCGUCGAAGACGGCGGCGCCCACCAGCAGAUGGGAACACUUCCAACCGGAGAGGAUCACGUGCCCAGGGACACAGGCAAUUUGGAUCCAGAACCAGCACUGAACCUCCUCCUGGCUUCUGUCCUGCGUUCCUUCAAGGACCCAGCUGCCUUCUGACCCCAAGUUCACAGUGCCACGAAUAGCCACAGACCACUCCCAAACGCCGGUUCUUCCUUUACUUCCCCCCCCCCCCCCAGUAUGGCCUUUGGACUCAAGAGAAACAAGCCUGGGAGCCGGGCCUCUGGAGGGUUCUUGGUCGGGGAGGGGGGUAAAAGGAGGGUUUCCUGGUCUGUCCAUCCAGCACCCACACUCCUCUCCUCACCCUACACUCUCCUUCCAUGGUCUUGACCUGCAGCUGGAAGUGAACUCCUUGAAGCAGAGCCUGGGUCUUGACAUCUUCCCUGUGUCCCCAGCACUCAUCCCCAAGGCAGGUGCUCAGCUAGCACUGUGGGUUGCUGCCGCAUGACAGUCCAGAAAGCGGUUAGGCUGGUGGCAGUGUGUCUGGGGAGACCACCUCCCUCUCUGCCCCUGUGGUCUGGGAGCACCAACUCCAGCUCAGGCUAGAGGUGGAUUCAGAGCUCAGGUGUGGCCAAUCAGAGCCAGGUUCCCCCAGCCACGGUGAUUGGCUGGGCGUGGCUCACCUCUCAACCAAUGAGAACCCUGGGAAAGCAUUUCUUUGAGGAGGCGUGGGAGGGAGGCAGGUACUGAGGCUGCAGGCCACUCCCCUACAGGGAGCAAAUACAUUCACUUUUUGGUUUAGGCCGCUGUGAGUUGGUUCCAAGCAGACCGGUGCUGCUGGUGCCUGUGAGCUGGCAGCCUGUCUGUGCUCCUCCAGUGAUCUGUCCCUGGGCCUACCUGGACCUCAGUGUCUUCUUUAGCAAAAACAGAUGUAUCUGAUAAUAGAGAACAUCAUGGUUUUAUAACGCUAUCUACCACCUAGUUGUUUGCUAGUUUCUUUACACACAGUGGGCGUGUCCGUAGCCCCUGGGGCUAAGAAUCACUACCCUGUGUUACCCAGAGAGGCCGACCAGCUUAUUCGGGCCCCUCAGUGAGUCAGAGUGGACCUCACUCCCAGUCUAGUGCUGCUUCUACAUCAGCGCUAUGUGUCUGUGAAAGACUCAGCUGCGGGCGGGAAGCAGGGAGGUACCGUGCUCCAGGCCAGCUACCCAGUGCAGCACAUCACACCUCCGUGCCUUUGCUCAUGCUGUUCCCUCUGCCUAUAUACCUUUCCCUGUCCUCUUCAGGCUUCCGUCUCCUCAUCUUUCAAGAUUCAGCUCUGGCAGCAUCUCCUCCAGAAGCUUCCCCUGUCCCCAGCCUGGAUGAGGCGCCUGUGUCCCUGCACAUACUUCUAUCCUGUGACCCCUUUGGUGCCAGUCACACCUCCCCUGCCAGACUGUGAGCUACUUGAGGGCAGGGGCCAUGCCGGCCUCAACUUGGUCAUGCAGGACCUGCCACACAGAACGAUCGGUGUGCAGAUUCGAGGCUCAGGGAGGAUCCGAUCUGCCCCCGGAGUUAGAGGACUCAAGAGUGGGAAGUUCAUCUAGCAUGAAAUAUGAUUAGUGGAUUUCAGGCUUCUUGAGGCAGCCUGAACCCCUGCCCAGCUCCACACCUGGUCCAUAAAUAGCUCCAUCGUGUUCCCCACGGAGCCCCAGUGCGGCCAGGAUCAAUCAGGCCAUCGGCAGAGGCUUCACCAGCUGACAGCUCCUGAGGGGGGCUGC